rnacentral:lncRNA from 1 species
UCAAAACCUUGAUAUAGCUCUUUUUCUAUUAACAUGUGGUAUUACUCAAUAUACCCCAGGAUGGAAAUAUAUCUGAUAUUACUCAAAGAGUAGGCGAUGACAGAUACUCACUACAGUAAUCACCCUGUAAAAUAUCUACAAAAAUGGCCAUAUCUACAUGCAUCGGCGCAUUUGUCAUGCAAUGUGACAUGAAAUACCUAAGCAAGGUUUGGUACGAUAGAAACCAAAAGCAGGCCAUAGUAUUAGUCCCAGAUAACUUAUGUACACUGUUUUUCAUACUGCACAAUAGUAAACUACAUGAUUGACUAUUGGAUAUAUAACUUUGUCCACACGCCUUCAUCUGAUUUGCUCGAUAUAUAACUUUGUCCACACUAAUUCAUUUGAUUUGCUUGCAUGUUGUGACACACGGAUCUGCUAAAGGACAUAUCUUGUUAGGCAAACUGUUCAAACAGUGCGUCUCAUGGACAGGGAGAAAAUAAUUGGGUCUAUAUGAAGGAGAAUCACUCUGGAUAAUAUACAAUGACCUGGAUACAGUGUAGCCUCUUUAACAUAAAAGAAUAUAAAAGAUAAAAUUAAAAUUAUUUUAGUAUUCUACAUGGCCUACAAUAUGCAAAGGUGAGUCUGGUUAUCAUUCAGUAAGUUAACAAAAAUAUAAGCUCAGUUGGCAACUCUCUCUGAACAAAUCAUGCAGCAAUAAUAGUGACAACAAAGCAAUUAACUACAUGAAGGUCAUAUAAAAAACAGAGUUUAAAUCAUCACACUGUCUGGAUCAAAAUAUUACUACUCAUUUACUACUAUCUCUAAGCAUCUACAAACCCUAUAUCAGUGUUUACAUCUGUGAGUACUUCCUUUGAUUACAAAAAUUACGGAGUCACACUGAUCAUUUUUUUGCAGCAGUCCAGUAAAACCAAAGAGGGGACAUGACGUAUAUCAGCUGACCUAUGCAAGUGCUCGGAGAUGGCUGUUAGUGGAACCAGCUGAACCUAGCAAGCCAUGAACCUAGAUCUCUUCGUCAGCCAUCGCGACCUAAACAGAUCCAAGAAAUUUCACAGAGUAGCUCAAAGCUCGACGCAUAACUUUGGCAAAAACGAAUGGACCAAAAACACAGAGUCUGAUAGAUAAAAAAUAGAGCAAGUCAUUUAUAUACAAAGCAAGACACUCACAGGUCAUUCAUAAUAGUUAGAUCAAGUCAUUUGUACAGAAAAAUCUGAAGGUUGAGUAGUGCAUUAGAGGGUAGCCGCAUAGUGCAGGAAACAUACAUUAGAGGGUAGCCGCGCAGUGCAGAAAACAUAUCCCACUGCUAUGGACAGAAGUGUAGAACAUCACAAUCCACUCAUUUUGUUCUGUGAGUACAUCCUUCAACGAUAAAAGUAUCUACAAAUUCCAAGGUGGUCCAACAUGAUAUAAAGUGUGGUCAACUUGAGUCGUCAAAAAUGAUUUAGAGACAACAUAAGUGGUUGAAAUAUAUAUAAGAAACAAAAAAAGUACAUGCGAACGACA